UAGGGAAUCUUCGGCAAUGGACGAAAGUCUGACCGAGCAACGCCGCGUGAGUGAAGAAGGUUUUCGGAUCGUAAAACUCUGUUGUUAGAGAAGAACAAGGAUGAGAGUAAAACGUUCAUCCCUUGACGGUAUCUAACCAGAAAGCCACGGCUAACUACGUGCCAGCAGCCGCGGUAAUACGUAGGUGGCAAGCGUUGACCGGAUUUAUUGGGCGUAAAGCGAGCGCAGGCGGUUUCUUAAGUCUGAUGUGAAAGCCCCCGGCUCAACCGGGGAGGGUCAUUGGAAACUGGGAAACUUGAGUGCAGAAGAGGAGAGUGGAAUUCCAUGUGUAGCGGUGAAAUGCGUAGAUAUAUGGAGGAACACCAGUGGCGAAGGCGGCUCUCUGGUCUGUAACUGACGCUGAGGCUCGAAAGCGUGGGGAGCAAACA
rnacentral:rRNA from 1 species